GAAAGAAGUAGCUUAAUAAAAGCGUAACACUGAAAACGUUAAAAUAGUUUAACAAACUCUCAUUCA
rnacentral:tRNA from 1 species